rnacentral:rRNA from 1 species
UGGGGAAUAUUGGACAAUGGGCGCAAGCCUGAUCCAGCCAUGCCGCGUGAGUGAUGAAGGCCUUAGGGUUGUAAAGCUCUUUCGCCGGUGAAGAUAAUGACGGUAACCGGAGAAGAAGCCCCAGCUAACUUCGUGCCAGCAGCCGCGGUAAUACGAAGGGGGCUAGCGUUGCUCGGAAUCACUGGGCGUAAAGCGCACGUAGGCGGAUCGUUAAGUCAGGGGUGAAAUCCUGGAGCUCAACUCCAGAACUGCCCUUGAUACUGGCGAUCUCGAGUUCGAGAGAGGUUGGUGGAACUCCGAGUGUAGAGGUGAAAUUCGUAGAUAUUCGGAAGAACACCAGUGGCGAAGGCGGCCAACUGGCUCGAUACUGACGCUGAGGUGCGAAAAGCGUGGGGAGCAAAACAGGAUUAGAUACCCUGGUAGUCCACGCCGUAAAACGAUGGAUGCUAGCCGUUGGGGGGUUUACCUCUCAGUGGCGCAGCUAACGCCUUAAGCAUCCCGCCUGGGGAGUACGGUCGCAAGAUUAAAAACUC